rnacentral:rRNA from 1 species
AGAGUUUGAUCCUGGCUCAGGACGAACGCUGGCGGCGUGCCUAAUACAUGCAAGUCGAGCGAUGAUGUUCGGGGGCUUGCCCUAGAAAAUCUUAUGCGCGAACGGGUGAGUAACACGUAAAGAACCUGCCUCAUAGACCGGGACAACUAUUGAAAACGAUAGCUAAUACCGGAUAACAGCAUUAACUGCAUGGUUGAUGUUUGAAAGUUGGUUUUGCUAACACUAUGAGAUGGUUUUGCGGAGUAUUAGCUUGUUGGGGGGGUAAAGCCCUACCAAGGCGACGAUGCAUAGACGACCUGAGAGGAUGAGCGGCCACACUGGUACUGAGACACGGCCCAGACUCCUACGGGAGGCAGCAGGAGGGAAUCUUCCGCAAUGGGCGAGAGCCUGACGGAGCAACGCCGCGUGAGUGAAGAAGGAUUUCGGGUCGUAAAGCUCUGUUGUUAGGAAAGAAUGGUUAUGUAGUAACUAUACAUAGUAGAGACGGUACCUAACAAAAAGCCACGGCUAACUACGUGCCAGCCGCCGCGGUAAUACGUACCCGAGAGCGUUGUCCGGAAUUAUUGGGCGAAAAGCGCGCGCAGGUGGUUUAUAAGUCUGAUGUGAAAGCCCACGGCUCAACCGUGGAGGGUCAUUGGAAACUGUUAAACUUGAGUGCAGGAGAGAGAAGAGGAAUUCCUAGUGUAGCGAAGUAAUGCGUAUAUUUAGGAGGAACGCCGGUGACGGAGGCUCUUUUUUUGCUGUAAUGACACUGAGGACAAAAGCGGGGGAGCAACAGGAUAACUCCCUGGUCGUCCCGUAAAAACGAUGGUACUAGUAGAGCCUCACAGGAGAUAGUGCUGAGCAACGCAUUAAGCACUCCGCUG